ensembl:lncRNA
AUAUAGUACAUAUUCAAUAUAAAAAGGUUUUGAAAACACAAAAACUACAAAGAAGAAAGUAAAAUAAAAAACCCUAUAAAACAGUACAUAUUCAAUAUAAAAAGGUUUUGAAAACACAAAAACUACAAAGAAGAAAGUAAAAUAAAAAACAACCCUUGGGAUGUAAUGUACAACCCGAAAACUACUGUUAACACUGCUUUAUAGUAUAUUUGAAAGUUGUUCAAGUAGAUCCUUUUUCUGUAAAGGGCCGGGUGUAUUAUUAUUAUUUUAGUCUUGGCAGGCCUGUGGUCUCUGUGCAGCUCUAUCUGGCAUUGCAGAAUGAAAGCAGCCAUAGACAAUAAAUGACUAGGUGUGGCUGUGUGUCAAUAAAACUUUAUUGACAAAAACAGACUCAAGGUUAGAUGUGGCCCAAGUCUGUAACUGACCAGCCUGAACAAGAUGAGCCCAGAGAAGCUAUGUGUAUGAAAAAGAGAAGGAGGGACACAGAGACAGAGGGAACACAAACAACCAAAAUUAAGAAUGAAAAAAGUAACACCUUACAGAUCCUAUAUUGGAAAAAUCAUAAGAGCUUACUAUGAAUAAUUUUGAGCCAAUUAAUUUAAAUUUUUAGAUGGAAUGUACCCUAAGGAAGGCUCAACUUACCCAAAUCAAAUAGAAACUCUGAAUAGUUCUACAUCUAUUAAAGGAACAAACCCAUAAUCUAAAGCCUUGGCAUCAAUGAAAAUCUGAAAUCCAGAAGAAUUCAUACUUUCAUCAAAUAUUUAAGAACUAAAAACUUUUGCUUGCCAUCUGCCUCUAUAAGGAUGAAGUCAUUAGCCAAUGACCUUCAACACACUCUGCAAAGAGUCUAGGGUAGAGAUCAGGAAUGAGGCACUGUGUGCUUAGGAAAAACUGGCAGAAGAGGCCUUCAGGCAGAUAUUUUUCAGGAAAAGAUUUUAUGAACCGGAAGUGAGUUCCCACCAGACACCAAAUCUGCUGGCAUUUUGAUCUUGGACUUUCCAGCCUCCAGAACAGUGAGGCACAAAUAUUUGUUUAAAAUACCCAGUCUACAGUAUUGUUUGUUAUAGCAGCCCAAAUGGAAUAAGACAUUGAUAUAAGAAAUCAGUUAAAGACGAAUUCAUGAAUGUGAAGUAAAACAUCCCAUAUGGGAGAGGAGGGGACAAGAUGGAGUAGAAGAACGCGAGCUCACCUCUUACAAAAACACCAAAAUCACAACUCAGGAAUAACAAUCCACAUAAAAAUGCUGGAACCUACCCCCCAAAAACAAAGCAGCAGCUACGACACGACAGUAGACUGCUGCAACUGCUUAUAAAAUCAAAUCCCGCGCCCACAAGGUCGGUGACCCAUAAACUGCAAAAUGUAUCACAGAAGUGUUCCCACAGACGUGAAAGUUCUGAGUGCCGGGACAGCAUCCCCAGCCUUGAGGUCUGGCAACAGGGGUAGAAGCCCCCAGAGAACCUAGCUUUGAAGGCUAGCAGCCUUUGAUUGCAGGAAUUCCACAGGACUUGCAGAAACAGAAACUCCACUCUUGGAAUGUGCACACAAGCUCUCAUGCAUAUCAGGACCCAGGGGGGGAAAAGCAAUGACCUCAUAAGAACCUGGGUCAGACCCACCUGUUGGUACUGAGCAUCUACUAUGGAGGCGGGGUUAGCUGUGGCUCAUUGCUGGGACAGACACUGAAGUAGCAGUUUUGGGGAGAAGUCACUGGUAUGAGCCCUCCUGGGGUCCACCAUUCUCUCACCAAGACGGGGCCUCCUCCAACAGCCUGUAGGCUCCAAUGCUGGGAUGCCUCAUGCCAGCCAACCAACAGGACAGGAAUAUAGCUGCAUCUAUCAACAUACAGGUGGCGUGAAGUCUUCCUGAGUACACAGUCGCCCACUCAACACACCCCCUGAAAUGGCCUUGCCCACCAGAGACACAAGACCCCGCUCUACCACCAGUGGGCAAGGACUAGUCCCUCCCCCAAGAAAGCCUGCCCAAGCCUCUUAGCCUUAUCCACCAGGGGGGCAGACAACAGAAGCAAGAAGAACUACAACCCUGCCACCUGCAGAAUGGAAAUAACAAUUACAGAAAGUUAGACAGAAUGAGAUGGUAGAGGAAUAUGUCCCAGAUGAAGGAGAUAGAACCCCAGGAGAAGAACGAAGUGAAGUGGAGACUGGUGGUCUACCUGAAAAAAAUUCAAAAUAAUGACUGUCAAGAUGAUCCAUGAUCUCAGAAAAAGAAUGGAGGCACAGAUUGAGAAGAUACAAGAAAUGUCUAACACAGACCUAGAAGAACUAAAGAACAAAAGCUGGACAGUACAGUAACUGCAAUAUGAAAAAUACACUAGAAGGAAUCAACUGAAAAAGUGAGGCAGACGAACAAAUAAGUGAGCUGAAAGACAGAAUGGUGGAAAUCAGUCACAGAACAAAAGAAAGAAAAGAGAGUGAAAGAAAUGCCGCUGCUGCUGCUAAGUCGCUUCAGUCGUGUCCGACUCUGUGCGACCCCACAGACGGCAGCCUACCAGGCUCCACCGUCCCUGGGAAUCUCCAGGCAAGAACACUGGAGUGGGUUGCCGUUUCCAUGAAAGAAAUGAAGACGGUCUAAAAGAUGUCUGGGAAAACAUUAAACACACCAACAUUCACAUUAUAGGGGUCCCAGAAGCAGAAGUGAGAGAGAAAGGACCCAAGAAGAUAUUUGAAAAAGAUAAUAGCUGUAAACUUCCUUAACAUGUGAAAGGAAACAGUCACUCAAGUCCAGGAAGCACAGAGAGUCCCAGGCAGGAUAAGCCCAAGGAGGAACAGCCCAAGACACAUGGUAACCAUACUGACAAAUAUUAAAGACAAAGAAGAAGCAUUAAGAGCAUAAGAGAAAAGCAACAAAUAAUAUACAAGCAAAGUCCCACUAAAGAUAGAUUAUGAGCUGAUUUCUCAGCAGAAACUCCGUAGGCCAGACAGAAGUGACAUGAUAUAUUUAAAGUUAUGAAAGGGAAGAAGCUACAACCAAGAAUACUCUACCCAACAAGGCUGUCAUUCAGAUUUGAUGGAGAAAUUAAAAGCUUUCAGUUCAGUUCAGUCACUCAGCCAGCUGCUAGUGCGCCUGCGCUGAAUGUAUGCGGCCAGCUGGGUCUGGGACCGCCCCUGCGUCCUGAGCUGCGAUGGACGCAGCUGCCCACAGUAGCCUCAAGACAACUUCUGGCCUGGACCACCCUGGUUAAAGGGACUGCCGCUUCUUUGGACACAAGCAACCUGGCUGACAAGGGUGGCACUGCGACGCCAGGCUUCAUCUGUGGUCGCCUCGCCUCUGCCUGGAGUGCGUGCCCUAAGCCCAGGCCCUUCAGCCAAGGGCUCAGAUAAAGCGUUCACCCGCUACCUGGUUAAUGACGCAUCCUGUUUGCCCCCUGCCCUUUUGUGUUGGCCAGUGCCUUUGCUUCCAGGCCCGUAUCCCAGCCUUCCACGAGAACGGCGGGUCUCCCCAUCCAUGCGUCUUCCCCCAAACCGCUUCCAAGGGAGGCAGUGACCACCUGUGUGGAUGGUGGGACACUCGGUGUCUGGGGUUGUCACCACGACCCGGGUGCUGGGCUGCCUGCAGACGCUAACGUGCUGAGAAUCACUGCUGUCUGGGCCUCUCACAGUGGCAGCCUGCUGCUCUGGGACGCCUUCGCAGGCAUUUGGGUAGAACUCAGCAGUGGAGCAGCAGGGUCAGCUGUGAUUAAUCUGCAGAAUUACCAAACAAGCUUUCUGUGGCUUGGAAAGGACUGGAAGGUACCGCGCCCCGCAGUUGCUGAGCUCAGAGGGGCAGUGCACCUGCGUGUGAACUUCACAUCUCAAACUAUCUUUUUUUGCCUCUUGCUCUGCACGUCCCUUUAAAGCAUUUGGAAUCAAGUGGUGCAUGCGUGUUGUUUCAGUCGUCUCUGACUCUCUGCGACCCCAUGGAUGAUAACCCACCAGGCUCCUCUGUCCACAGGAUUAUCCUGGCAAAAAUACUGAAGUGGUCUCUUGGCUGCUCCUCCUGUGAGGACCAGUUCCUCCCUUGAACCCGCCCUUUGGAACUCAGGGAAGGCCAUGGAGGCUGGAGUCUUGCCCACAAGAAAUGAAGACAGAAAAGCCCCGGCACCAGGGAGCCCCACAGGGCCCUGCUCGGUUUCACUACUCGCCCCUUAAUUUGCUGCUUGAUUCCAGCAUUUUACAGCAGUGUAAAUUGUAAUGUUUUUAUAUUUUGUUUACUUGCUAAACAACAUUUUUGUGAAAGGGCAGGUAGUCUGCCAAGAUAACAAAAUGUGCAAUAAAAUUAGAAGUAGAAAUGUGGUAUGAACGGAUGUACCAGAGGCAAAUUACAGACGGAUGCUUUGCCUUUUCAAAGGGGGCCUGUUCUCUUCAGCUGAUUGCUGCACGGGUUCAUUAGCGUCAGCUUUUUUGCUGGUUUUUAAAGAGAAAGCUGAGGACUUAACUUCCCUGAUGGCACAAUGGUUAACAAUCCGCCUGCCAAUGCAGAAGGCACAGGUUGGAUCCCUGGUCCAAGAAAAUUCCACAUGCCAUGGGGCAACUAAGCCCAUGCACGCACCACAGCUCCUGAAGCCUGCGCACCUAGAGCCCACGCUCUGCAACAAGAGGAGCCGCUGCAAUAAGAAGCCGUGCACCGCACCGAGAGCAGCCCCCGCUCGCCACAACUCGAGAAAGCCCGAGAAUAGUAAUGAAGACCCAGCGCAGCCAUAAAUAAAUUUUUUUUUUAAAGAGAGAAAGCUGAAAUCAAAGAUGUAAAAUCUUUGUGUCUCCAGCAACAAAUUGGGGGUAUCCAGUUCAGUUCAGUCGCUCAGUCAUGUCCGACUCUUCGCAACCCCAUGAAUCACAGCACGCCAGGCCUCCCUGUCCAUCACCAACUCCUGGAGUUUACUCAGACUCACGUCCAUCGAGUCAGUGAUGCCAUCCAGCCAUCUCAUCCUCUGUCAUCCCCUUCUCCUCCUGCCCCCAAUCCCUCCCAGCAUCAGAGUCUUUUCCAAUGAGUCAACUCUUCGCAUGAGGUGGCCAAAGUACUGGAGUUUCAGCUUUAGCAUCAUUCCCUCCAAAGAAAUCCCAGGGCUGAUCUCCUUCAGAAUUGGGGUGAGGGAGAGUUUAAAACCACUGUGGGCUAGACAAAACCCACUUGCAGGCCACGUUUACCCACAUUGGUCACCAGUUUGCAAUCUCUAGUAUGGACUGUAAUAAAAGGCUGACGGUUUAGCGAUCAGCUUCAAAAUUAGGAUGGCAUCAUUUCUUCCAUGUGGCAUAUAUUGUAACUCUUUGAACAAGCAGACAUAAAGUACAGUAUGCCCUUCUCUGUUUUGAAGAUGUAACAGACCUCUCUUUACUGCUUCUCCCAAGGAGUUAUGCAAAUAAAUGACAGAGCUGGAGGGGAGAAAAAAACAACAAAAAAAAUCAAUGUAUUUUAUCACAUUAACAGAAUAAAAGACAAAAUAGGAUCAUCUCAACAGAUGCAGAAAUUCAACAUCCUUUCAUAAAAAAUAAACCUCUUUGUUAACAAAGAAGAGAAGGGAAUAUUUUUUAUCUAUUAAAGACUAUCUAUC